rnacentral:rRNA from 1 species
AUGAGCUGGUUUAUCUUGGGCGUUGUUCUUUUUGCCGGAGGCGUGCCGGCGGUGGCGGAGUUCGCCGGCAGCUGCGCGAUGCUCCGGGGCGUGUGUCGGCCUAUGGAGGUGCGCGGCGUGGCGAGGAGGCCGCGGUGGCUGCGGCGGCACGAUGAAGAGGCCGCGGAGGACCUGCAUGGUGGCGGCUUCAACGACGACGACGGCGCGGCGAGCGCGUCGUGGCGGCUCAGCGCGACAACGGUGGAGGCGCGUGGCACAGAGCCGCGGCGCUCGUGUCGGAUGUGUCAAGUGUGUGUAUGGGCGCGCACCGGGCGUGUCAGACGCGGCGGGACCGUGGUGUAG